GGGUCGGAGGCGGAUAUCGGAUGGCCGCACCUGUCUGUAAAACAGGUUCUUUGAUGACGAUGGGGGUUCAAUUCCCUCCCGAUCCA
rnacentral:tRNA from 1 species